CCUCAGGAGGGGGAUAACGGUUGGAAACGACCGCUAAUACCCCAUAUGCCGAUAGGUGAAAUGAAUUUCGCCUGAGGAUGAGCCCGCGUCUGAUUAGCUAGUUGGUAAGGUAAAGGCUUACCAAGCCUUCGAUCAGUAGCUGGUCUGAGAGGAUGAUCAGCCACACUGGGACUGAGACACGGCCCAGACUCCUACGGGAGGCAGCAGUGGGGAAUUUUCCGCAAUGGGCGAAAGCCUGACGGAGCAACGCCGCGUGAGGGACGAAGGCCUCUGGGCUGUAAACCUCUUUUCUCAAGGAAGAAGAUAUGACGGUACUUGAGGAAUAAGCCACGGCUAAUUCCGUGCCAGCAGCCGCGGUAAUACGGGAGUGGCAAGCGUUAUCCGGAAUUAUUGGGCGUAAAGCGUCCGCAGGCGGCCUUUCAAGUCUGCUGUUAAAGCGUGGAGCUUAACUCCAUUAUGGCAGUGGAAACUGAUAGGCUUGAGUAUGGUAGGGGCAGAGGAAAUUCCCGGUGUAGCGGUGAAAUGCGUAGAUAUCGGGAAGAACACCAGUGGCGAAGGCGCUCUGCUGGGCCAUUACUGACGCUCAUGGACGAAAGCCAGGGGAGCGAAAGGGAUUAGAUACCCCUGUAGUCCUGGCCGUAAACGAUGAACACUAGGUGUCGGGGGAAUCGACCCCCUCGGUGUCGUAGCUAACGCGUUAAGUGUUCCGCCUGGGGAGUACGCACGCAAGUGUGAAACUCAAAGGAAUUGACGGGGGCCCGCACAAGCGGUGGAGUAUGUGGUUUAAUUCGAUGCAACGCGAAGAACCUUACCAGGGUUUGACAUCCUGCGAACCUCUUAGAAAUUUGAGGGUGCCUUCGGGAAUGCAGUGACAGGUGGUGCAUGGCUGUCGU
rnacentral:rRNA from 1 species